ACGUAGGGGGCGAGCGUUGUCCGGAGUUACUGGGCGUAAAGCGCACGCAGGCGGUCCGGUAAGUUUGGAGUGACAAUUCUCGGCUUAACUGAGAAGGGUCUUUGAAGACUGCCGGACUUGAGGGCUCACGAGGGACACGGAAUUCCGGGUGGAGUGGUGAAAUGCGUAGAUAUCCGGAGGAACACCAAAGGCGAAGGCAGUGUCCUGGGGAGUACCUGACGCUCAGGUGCGAAAGCCAGGGGAGCAAACGGGAUUAGAUACCCCGGUAGUCCUGGCCGUAAACGAUGACCACUAGGCGUGGGGGGUAUCGACCCCUUCCGUGCCGUAGCUAACGUGAUAAGUGGUCCGCCUGGGGAGUACGGUCGCAAGAUUA
rnacentral:rRNA from 1 species